AGCAACACCCAGUAUAUAGUCUGGCCUCAAAAAAACAGUUGUAGCAACAUUUAAAAAUGUAAAGAUUUGAACAUGGCUGGAUCUAUGUGUUACUACAUUCAUGUUGGUCAGGUUGUGUUUACUAAUGAAAUGUGAUUUUUUUUAAGCAGGAUAAUUAUCCAAUGCACACCAGAUGCUUUUUGAUAGAUUAUUCCCAAAACCCUCAUCUAAAGCUUAUAGAGCUUCCAUUGGAUGCCAUGAAGAAGACAUGAGAUUUUUGAUGCUUUAUUAUUUAUUAUAAACAGACUGAGUGUUUUUUGGGUAGGAGAAAAAUUCCAUGGUAACUGUUACAGAAGUCAACAAAAGGUUCAGUGACACAAAGGAAUGUUCACAAAAGCUUCUGAGGGGGUGAGAGUCUUGUGAAAUCUGUUUUUCAACUAACAGCGUGGGCACACACACACACACACACACACACACACCUGUUACGUUGAAGUGUGAUGUAAGGUCCAGAACCACCCUUUUUAUUUGAUAUAAAUAUGAGAGAAUGCAGCUUCUGUCUCAUCCAUAAGCUUGCAUUCUUCACAAGAGAUCUUUUAAAGAAGCCUUUUUUUUUGCUACCUGCAUCAUCAGUUCCUUGUUAAGAACAAGAUCAUGUCAUACCUGGCCAAUGUUGUUGAAGUUGGUGGAACUGGAGGAGCUCCUUUCAAUUUUAAUGACACUCAAAAUGGAUCCAUAUUGCAAAAGAUCUAUGUUUGGGUCUGUGAAUAUACGGUGAAAGCCAUUAAAGUGUGUCUUACUGAUGGCCAGUCCACACAGUUUGGUAUUCCUGCUGGGAAUCUGCAAGAGUUCACAUUUGUAGAUGGAGAGCAUUUCACCUCCCUUUCACUUUGGCCAAAUCAAAAUAACACACGUCUGGGUGCGAUAAAAUUCACGACAAGUCACUCCCGGGAUUUCUAUGCAAGCUUGACAAAUCAGAGGCUGCAACCAGAAGUUAAAGUUGAUAUUGCCUCUGGGAUCUGCAUGGGAAUCAAAGGAUGUUCAGGGAGUGAUGUGGAUCGCUUAGGCUUUAAGUUUGUCAAGAAUUUUUAAAAUUAGUAAAAGUUUUAAAAGCAGUGGAACCUACAAUGGUGUCGCUUACACUGUUGGAAAUGUGGUUGUCAAUUAAUCAAACAUCUUAAUCAAUCUCAUAUAUUAAAUCAUUUUAAUCAAUAAUGUUUCUGUUUGAAGUUAGCUUAGUUUGUUUGUUUUAAUAUUAGCUUCUCAUAAUAAUGAUUCUUUUUUUUUCUUUCAAAUCUGUUAACCAAUGAUUUGAUUUAUUUUGCUGGUUCAGACAAUUUAUUCUGUUAGUCUACCAGUGAUGCAAGACUAAGACACAGUUUAGAUUAAUUAAACGUUAUUUACAAAUAAUUCUGAGUAAUGAACAAAACAUCUCAUUUGGUGAUUUUACAUCUAAUUUGACUCAUAUGGAAUGCUAUAUGGAACAAUUUGAUUAUUUUCUUUUGACAUGUUCUGUCAGGAUUGUUGCAUUUUGCACGCUUUGGCAGCGUGCUUUUGUUCUGUGUCACGUGUCUGCCCCGCCCUUGUCUCUUCUCCCCCGCCUCUGCACACCUGUUCCUCAUGUGUUAAUUGUGUUGUGUAUUAAACCAUGCCACGUUGCCUAGGUCGGCGUGAAAUCCCCUUCCUUUGUCAUGUCAUUUGUCAAGUCUUUGUCCCUGUUUAUUUUUAUCCCCACGUCACUGACAUAUUCAGAAGAUUAUAAUCUGUUAUGAAUUCCAUCAGUAAAAUCAGUCUCAAUUGAAACUGA